ACGCUGGCGGCAGGCCUAACACAUGCAAGUCGAGCGGUAGAGAGAAGCUUGCUUCUCUUGAGAGCGGCGGACGGGUGAGUAAUGCCUAGGAAUCUGCCUGGUAGUGGGGGAUAACGCUCGGAAACGGACGCUAAUACCGCAUACGUCCUACGGGAGAAAGCAGGGGACCUUCGGGCCUUGCGCUAUCAGAUGAGCCUAGGUCGGAUUAGCUAGUUGGUGAGGUAAUGGCUCACCAAGGCGACGAUCCGUAACUGGUCUGAGAGGAUGAUCAGUCACACUGGAACUGAGACACGGUCCAGACUCCUACGGGAGGCAGCAGUGGGGAAUAUUGGACAAUGGGCGAAAGCCUGAUCCAGCCAUGCCGCGUGUGUGAAGAAGGUCUUCGGAUUGUAAAGCACUUUAAGUUGGGAGGAAGGGCAGUUACCUAAUACGUAUCUGUUUUGACGUUACCGACAGAAUAAGCACCGGCUAACUCUGUGCCAGCAGCCGCGGUAAUACAGAGGGUGCAAGCGUUAAUCGGAAUUACUGGGCGUAAAGCGCGCGUAGGUGGUUUGUUAAGUUGGAUGUGAAAUCCCCGGGCUCAACCUGGGAACUGCAUUCAAAACUGACAAGCUAGAGUAUGGUAGAGGGGUGGUGGAAUUUCCUGUGUAGCGGUGAAAUGCGUAGAUAUAGGAAGGAACACCAGUGGCGAAGGCGACCACCUGGA
rnacentral:rRNA from 1 species